rnacentral:rRNA from 1 species
UAGGGAAUCUUCCGCAAUGGACGAAAGUCUGACGGAGCAACGCCGCGUGAGCGAAGAAGGUCUUAGGAUCGUAAAGCUCUGUUGUCAGGGAAGAACAAGUGCCGUUCGAACAGGGCGGUACCUUGACGGUACCUGACGAGGAAGCCACGGCUAACUACGUGCCAGCAGCCGCGGUAAUACGUAGGUGGCAAGCGUUGUCCGGAAUUAUUGGGCGUAAAGCGCGCGCAGGCGGUUCCUUAAGUCUGAUGUGAAAUCUCGCGGCUCAACCGCGAGCGGCCAUUGGAAACUGGGGAAAUUGAGUGCAGGAGAGGGGAGCGGAAGUCCACGUGUAGCGGUGAAAUGCGUAGAGAUGUGGGGGAACACCAGUGGCGAAGGCGGCUCUCUGGCCUGUAACUGACGCUGAGGCGCGAAAGCGUGGGGAGCGAACAGG